CUUUUCUGAAGAUUUUGAUAAAAUUGGAUGAUGAAAGAAGUUAAACGAACUAAACAGAAUACCAUUCUGCUUGGCCUGAUCUCUGGCAGAGGAGCUAGAGGACGGGAGCAGGUCUGCAAUUCAUCAGAAAAGCCAGUCCAGGAUAGGCCCGGUGCAUCCAAACACCUUCUCCUUUAUUUUAUGGCAUAACAGAACAUCACUCGAUGCCCGUAAAACCAUCGAAUAAUACACAAGCCUGAAAAAGUGACAACCAGAAUUUGGCUCUUGUCGCACACUUGUCUCCAUUAUCUUUGCUGUGGGGAGUUUGAGUGGAAGAGUAACAGUCAUUUAUCAGUGCAGUGCUCAUGUUCUAAGUCCUGCAGGACAGGGGGUGACAAGGGUGCAACUUCCCCCCUUGACAGAAGUCAAGCAGAUCCUUAGGGCCUGAGCUCUCCUGUCAGAGACAGGAAGUGACUGAUGAGCGGAUGUGUGCUCCCUCAGACACACAGAGUCACUUCAUAACACCCUAUUGACCUCUCUUUAGAGUUGAUUAAAACUGACUGCCCAGAAAACAACGAGCAGUUAGCGGGGGUUUUUUUUACGCGUCGCGACGGAAACACCGACAGACGAGCGUUGCGUCCUCGGCGAGGGCCUGAUGACCGCGCACACUACACUCAGGCCGGGUUUUGAAAUCCUAGGGUCAAAAUGUGAAAAUUCCACCGGGUUCGCAGUUGCCUUUCGCGAGCCCUCGGGGCGCCGCGCGCACGCAGGCGCUGAGUUUCAGGGCUCCCCCGGGGCGAGCGGGGAUUCCUCGCCUUCCCCACUACCCAAGCCGCUGGGGAGGAGGAGACCCCGGAGUUCAGAGGGAGAGCGGCAGAGGGUUGAUCACUCGCCCCAAAGCCUCAGUAGUGAACUGAUGAACUCUCUAUGGGAACCUGGGAGUGGAGGCUGUGAUUAAAGAGAGGGCGGGGAGGGAGGACCAGUGGCACUUUGGGAGUACGUCUUAAAAGCCGAGCUGCAAAGGUCUCUCUCAGUUUGGCCUUCUGGCUUGAGUUUAGACUAAACUGUCACAUGCCUGCACUUUAUUAAGAGUGAACGAGGAACAUCAAAGUCUAAAGCUCAACUCCCAUUAAAUAGGGGCCUUUAGAUACCUCAGGAACUCAACUGCUAUUGAAAUACAUGGGGGUUUUUUUAGCCAGUGCUUUUUCCCUCACUCUCUCUUUCCCACCUCUCGCUCUCUUUUCACAGCUGUGAAACACGGUCACCAAAAGUCAUUUGAAAGUUUGGCUCCUUUGAAAACUUAGCUUUGAGGCAGCACGGCGCUUCCUGCCAGCCACCAGUGCUUCAGCACACUGCAGAGAAGAAGACACCUGUUCUCUUCCUUCAUUGGUUUACAAACCUUGAUGACAGAGCAAAGGCAGCCAAAGAGGCCUGACCAAGGCAGCGGCUUAAAGAGACGUAGUCAUGUUCUGUUUAAACUUAACCAGGAGGUGAACCUUGAAGACAAAAAUACAGCUUCCAUCAGGGGAGCUUUGACAGGCUUUAAAGUGAAAUUGCAAGCCCAGAGGGAAAGACAAGGGGAGAACUUCCCAUCACUUUGAUAGCAGGCAAAGCAUUAGGCAAACAUUACACACCUCCAUCCAGGAAGAGGAGAGACCCGACCCCAACAAAUCACUCCAAGGACACUCACGGCUAGACAUCCAUCUGCUUUCAAUUUCCUUACGCUUAAAUACAGGUAAGACGAUGCUGAUGAAAUAAGCCCUGUAGCGAAAUAUCAGACCGCAGACGAUCCACAAAUCCCAUGCACACCGACAGGAGACAAUUGACAAGCAAUAAUAUUGUUCGCAUUGGAUAACGAGGAGGAUGCUGAGAGAGAAAAAAUCACAGUCCUAUAAGGUAAACUGAUCAAAACUGAUCAGGAUUCAAUGAGAAGUGUCCCACGGACAUGCAGGUGUGCUGACGUCAAUGCGCAGGGUGUGCCGGCACCGCCUCCGGGGGGGAUUAGCACGCUGCGAAAGCCGCAUUAAUGCAGCGGAAUGAGGCGGGCACACUACGCUCCGAUAGGCACUCUUAGCGCUCCGGAAUGUGCCAGGAGAAAAGAGUCUAUCAGCAGAAUUGAGUGCGAUAGCAUCAGGCCGGGAGUGAGUCCUCGUCUGGGCUCAGCGGGGAGAGCCGUCCUUUAGAAGGGCAGGAGGAGGGCGCUCCGGCCCUCGGACCCCGAGCGUUUAUCACGCGCUGCGAGCCCGGCUCACGGCUCGCAUCAGCACGCAGAGGCACAGUCCCCUGUCUUCCAGACUAAGUCUGGUUUCAUGCAAAGGUUGCUCACGUUAUAUUGUCCCCAGGAUGAAAUACAUUAUGGAAAAUUUUGUUUCGAAAUCAGCAAUGAUGAAUAUAGUUGUUGUAUGUCGUCUUUGCAUUUGUAAGGAUCCCAAUGUGACCACAAGCUCAUAAUGAUACAUGAUAUUCUUGAGUGCCAUUUGUAGAAAAAAAAAAAUCUGGCAUAUGCAUGCCCAGCGGCAUUUAGUGAGCACAUCUUUGUACUCUGCACUGUAAUUGAAAAUGACAAAAAAAGAACUAUUCUGUAAAUGUCAACAGCAAGAAAUGACUGAAUAAAAUGUAGAGGAAGGCUUUCCAGAGCUGAAAUAAACUGCAUGCUUCGAAUACAGUUUUUUUUUAAAUAAAUGCCUUGACAGAAUGAAGUCUGAGAAAUAAAGCUUCCUGAAAAGA